GUCCCUUUCGUCUAGCGGUUCAAGAUCUCGUCUUUUCAUGUCGAAGACACAGGUUCAAUUCUUGUAAGGGAUA
rfam:Setaria italica strain Yugu1 chromosome VII, whole genome shotgun sequence.